CCCCUAAGGUGAGGCCGAAAGGCGUAAUCGAUGGGAAACGGGUUAAUAUUCCCGUACUUCUGACUAUUGCGAUGGGGGGACGGAGAAGGCUAGGUGGGCCAGGCGACGGUUGUCCUGGUUCAAGUGCGUAGGCUUGAGAGUUAGGUAAAUCCGGCUCUCUCUAAGGCUGAGACACGACGUCGAGCUACUACGGUAGUGAAGUCAUUGAUGCCAUGCUUCCAGGAAAAGCCUCUAAGCUUCAGAUAGUCAGGAAUCGUACCCCAAACCGACACAGGUGGUCGGGUAGAGAAUACCAAGGCGCUUGAGAGAACUCGGGUGAAGGAACUAGGCAAAAUGGUACCG
rnacentral:rRNA from 1 species